ACUGCGCAGCCGUGGUGCGUAGAAUCACGAGGUCGGACCGGAAACUCUUCCUCUUUCCCUGGAGAUGGCUGCAGAAGGCAGUACGGCGUUUCAGCUCUUCUCAACAUUUAACUUCUUCGCGAUUCAACACGUAGAUGCUAUGCUGCUGCAAAUAACCUGAUGUCUUCACUGUGUUGACCCUUUAAGGUCUCAUGCUGUGGUUGCAGGAGAGGCACGAGAUGCCUAAUCCUUUGUCUCCUUUCCCUGAGGACAGAUAAACAGCAUCAGCAGUAAUGGAGCUACACAGUGACUGGCAGUGAUUUCAUGCCUUUCCUGAUGUCGUUACUGGACUUUCAGAUGCGUUGCUAUAACGACUGCAAGCACAUUUUAGGACUCAAUUGCAAUGGAAAGCGUCUGAAACAGAGUCGAGUCGAGAUGUGCAAGGUUUUGGAAACACUUGAAUGACCUGGGAGUACACAGAGUGGCCACAAUUGAAAGGUGCGUUGGUGUAGAUGAACCGUAAGAUAAGCUGAUGGAGCUCAUCCAGAGCAGCGUCUCGCUUGCACAAACCAUCUACAUCUCCCAGAUCACAAGGAAACACUGGAUCGGGUGGAAUAAUGAGAGCAGAGGCGCCUGUAUGAAGAAGAGAAAAUCCUGAAUAUAUUGUAUAUUAUAUUGGUGUUUGAUGCUUUAUUAUCUUGAGUGUUAUAUAUUGAUCAAUAAAAUGAGCCAUGCUUAUGAACAGAA